UGCGUAGGCGGCCUGACAGGUCAGAGGUGAAAGGCUACGGCUUAACCGUAGUAAGCCUUUGAAACUGACAGGCUUGAGUGCAGGAGAGGAAAGUGGAAUUCCUAGUGUAGCGGUGAAAUGCGUAGAUAUUAGGAGGAACACCAGUGGCGAAGGCGACUUUCUGGACUGUAACUGACGCUGAGGCACGAAAGCGUGGGGAGCGAACAGGAUUAGAUACCCUGGUAGUCC
rnacentral:rRNA from 1 species